AUCAGGAUGAGGUGAUUAUUGGAGUCAGGUGUGUUAUCUGGGGCAAAACGAUGACACCAAUCAGGCCCCCGAGGACUGGAGUUGCCCAGGCAUGUUGUAGAGUGUGUGUGUGUGUGGUUGUAGAGUGUGUAUGUGUGUGGUUGUAGAGUGUGUGUGUGUGGUUGUAGAGUGUGUGUGUGUGGUUGUAGAGUGUGUGUGUGUUCUCUCCAGCUUAUUGUUUUGUCUCUGAGCUGCAUUGAUCCUAUGUAUAUAUUUCUAUUAGAGACUGCAUUAGACAGUGUGUCUAUAUCCUACUGUAGUAGAGGUCUGUAUGUAGACUACAUUCUGCUAGGUGUGUCUAUAUCCUACUGUAGUAGAGGUCUGUAUGUAGACUACAUUCUGCUAGGUGUGUCUAUAUCCUACUGUAGUAGAGAGGUCUGUAUGUAGACUACAUUCUGCUAGGUGUGUCUAUAUCCUACUGUAGUAGAGGUCUGUAUGUAGACUACAUUCUGCUAGGUGUGUCUAUAUCCUACUGUAGUAGAGGUCUGUAUGUAGACUACAUUCUGCUAGGUGUGUCUAUAUCCUACUGUAGUAGAGGUCUGUAUGUAGACUACAUUCUGCUAGGUGUGUCUAUAUCCUACUGUAGUAGAGAGGUCUGUAUGUAGACUACAUUCUGCUAGGUGUGUCUAUAUCCUACUGUAGUAGAGAGGUCUGUAUGUAGACUACAUUCUGCUAGGUGUGUCUAUAUCCUACUGUAGUAGAGAGGUCUGUAUGUAGACUACAUUCUGCUAGGUGUGUCUAUAUCCUACUGUAGUAGAGAGGUCUGUAUGUAGACUACAUUCUGCUAGGUGUGUCUAUAUCCUACUGUAGUAGAGAUGUCUGUAUGUAGACUACAUUCUGCUAGGUGUGUCUAUAUCCUACUGUAGUAGAGGUCUGUAUGUAGACUACAUUCUGCUAGGUGUGUCUAUAUCCUACUGUAGUAGAGAGGUCUGUAUGUAGACUACAUUCUGCUAGUUGUGUCUAUAUCCUACUGUAGUAGAGAGGUCUGUAUGUAGACUACAUUCUGCUAGGUGUGUCUAUAUCCUACUGUAGUAGAGAGGUCUGUAUGUAGACUACAUUCUGCUAGGUGUGUCUAUAUCCUACUGUAGUAGAUGUCUGUAUGUAGACUACAUUCUGCUAGGUGUGUCUAUAUCCUACUGUAGUAGAGAGGUCUGUAUGUAGACUACAUUCUGCUAGGUGUGUCUAUAUCCUACUGUAGUAGAGAGGUCUGUAUGUAGACUACAUUCUGCUAGGUGUGUCUAUAUCCUACUGUAGUAGAGAGGUCUGUAUGUAGACUACAUUCUGCUAGGUGUGUCUAUAUCCUACUGUAGUAGAGGUCUGUAUGUAGACUACAUUCUGCUAGGUGUGUCUAUAUCCUACUGUAGUAGAGGUCUGUAUGUAGACUACAUUCUGCUAGGUGUGUCUAUAUCCUACUGUAGUAGAGAGGUCUGUAUGUAGACUACAUUCUGCUAGGUGUGUCUAUAUCCUACUGUAGUAGAGGUCUGUAUGUAGACUACAUUCUGCUAGGUGUGUCUAUAUCCUACUGUAGUAGAGAUGUCUGUAUGUAGACUACAUUCUGCUAGGUGUGUCUAUAUCCUACUGUAGUAGAGAGGUCUGUAUGUAGACUACAUUCUGCUAGGUGUGUCUAUAUCCUACUGUAGUAGAGAGGUCUGUAUGUAGACUACAUUCUGCUAGGUGUGUCUAUAUCCUACUGUAGUAGAGGUCUGUAUAUAGACUGCAUUAGACAGUGU
ensembl:lncRNA